rnacentral:rRNA from 1 species
UACGGAGGGGGCUAGCGUUGUUCGGAAUUACUGGGCGUAAAGCGCACGUAGGCGGCUUUGUAAGUUAGAGGUGAAAGCCCGGGGCUCAACCCCGGAACUGCCUUUAAGACUGCAUCGCUUGAAUCCAGGAGAGGUGAGUGGAAUUCCGAGUGUAGAGGUGAAAUUCGUAGAUAUUCGGAAGAACACCAGUGGCGAAGGCGGCUCACUGGCCUGGUAUUGACGCUGAGGUGCGAAAGCCAGGGGAGCAAACGGG